rnacentral:lncRNA from 1 species
GCAUGAAAUUGCAGGGGAAGUGACAGAAGUUGGUAGCAAAGUAAGAAAGGUUAAAGUGGGAGAUAAAGUUGGAGUUGGAUGCAUGGUUGGUGCAUGCCACAGCUGCGAGAGCUGUGCCAAUGACCUUGAAAAUUACUGUCCGAAAAUGAUACUCACCUACAGUUCCAUUAACACUGACGGAACAAUCACAUUCGGAGGCUACUCUGAUCACAUGGUUGCCAAUGAGCGCUACAUUGUUCGAUUCCCUGAUAGCAUGCCCCUUGAUGCUGCUGCUCCUCUGCUUUGCGCCGGGAUUACCGUGUACAGUCCAUUGAAAUACUUUGGACUAGCAGAACAAGGAAAGCAUGUAGGCAUCGUUGGCCUUGGCGGGCUUGGUCAUGUCGCUGUCAAAUUUGCCAAGGCUUUUGGGGCCAAAGUGACAGUAAUUAGCACCUCUCCAAGCAAGAAGACUGAAGCUCUUGAACAUCUUGGCGCUGAUUCAUUUUUGAAUAGCCGUGACCCUGACCAAUUGCAGGUAAUUUAAUUAGAUUCACGCAUAUAUUGGAGAAAAAUAAAAAAUAAAAUGCAUUCCUUAAUUUUAAUAUAUAUUUUGUAAUAACUUCAUCAGGGUGCCAUGGGCACAUUGGAUGGUAUUAUUGACACGGUGUCCGCUGUGCACCCCAUUUUGCCAUUGCUCGGUCUAUUAAAGUCCCAGGGCAAGCUUGUUCUGGUUGGUGCUCCGGACAAGCCACUCGAGCUACCUGUGAUUUCCUUAAUUAUGGGUAAGUUCUAACAAAAUUCUUCGGAAACUUGUGGUCUAAAACUUGUAAUUAAUAUAAUUCAUUUGAUAACAUAAAAUGACAUAGCAGGGAGGAAGACGGUGUCAGGGAGCAGCACUGGGGGAAUGAAAGAGACGCAAGAGAUGAUUGAUUUUGCAGCAAAACACAAUAUAACAGCUGACAUUGAGGUUAUUUCGAUGGAUUAUGUCAAUACGGCAAUGGAGCGGCUCGCCAAGGCUGAUGUUCGGUAUCGAUUUGUCAUUGAUAUUGCAAACACCUUGGCCGCCACCAAACCUUGAAGAAUCAGAAUCAGAAUCAGAUUGGUGUCUUCAAUUCACAACUUUGUUCCAUGAUCCACUUUGCUAUAUGUAAUGCUCCCUCGAUCAUUACACUCUUUUAGCGCUUAAAUUACUUUUAAUUUCCAGUUACAUCACCCUAAUUAUGUCGUGAUUGCCAAAAAACUAUAAAUGUUAAUGAAAUAAAACAUUGUUCAUAUAAAAUAUUUAGCAUAUGUACCUUUCACCAAUUGUCCAGUUGAAAAGUUUGUUUUGUUCUAAAUCACAUAUAGAGUUUUGCUCUCAUGCGGCACUUUUCAUUUUUUUUUUCUUCUCGUACCAACACUAUCAAGUCGUAUAAUUCAAUAAAAUUAGUAUAGAUGGCAGAAAUCUAUAAAAUCAUAUUUGCAAAGGUAUGUAGCAACAGCAGCGUCUAGGUUCCUCUGACCUUGAACAAAAAUAUACGAUUGUCCUAAAUGGCUCAUGAAUUCAUAUCACAAUUUUCAACGCUGCAUAUAUGUUUUCCAACAGAAAAUUUCUCUGGAUUAGGGUUUAGUGUUAUGUUAAAUUUUUAUCGAGUAUUGAAUCAAUCAUUGAAUUAAUAGUUAAAAUUGUUUUAAAUUUUUAAAUUUUUACAAUUUCUCCUAUUAAUAACUAUUGAUUCAAUAUCCAGUAAAAAUUUAAUUUAGCACGUAAUCCUUAUUCGACUUUGCAACCAAAGAAAACAAACAAAACUUCAUCGGUCAAUGGAAGCAUUUUCUUAGGACCUCACGGUUCACCCCCAAUGUUGAUGCAUGAUGGAUGAUUCUAUCAAGAUGAAUAUAGUUCAAGUUUUACCACCCCAUCAAAUCUAUCAUGAAAUUUCAUUUAUUCUUUUUUUUUUUUGUAGAUCUUAAUAUGUACUAUGAUUGAAAAAGAGAGAGAGAGAGAGAAUAGUAAAAUCCAUAUCUAAAAUGGUAUGUGGUAUGUAUAUAGUAGUACAUGAUCUAUAAUGGUAUGUAUAUGAUGUACAUGAUAUGAUCUAAGCUCUGCUUGUGCUACCUAUAUUUUAGUGUUAGUAUAUAAUUAGAAUUUAACUACCUUUAUUUUUUAAUUUGUUAAUUACCAAUCACUUUAAUAAAAUAUAAAACUUACUAGGGGUGGUAAUAUGGGUCAGGAUUCGUUUAUUCGAUUCGAUUCGAUGCGAAUUAAAUGGGUUUGGGUUUGAAAAAAAUUGAUUCGUUUAAUAAAUGGAUGAAUUCGAUUUGAUUCGUUAAUUAAACGAAUCGAAUGCGGGUUUGAAAAUUUACAUUCGUUUAUUCGUUUAGAAUUCAUUUAAUAAAUGGGUCAUAAACGAAUCGAAUACAGGUCGAUUCGUUUAUUAUUCGUUUAAUUAAAUUACUUUUUUAUCCUUAAAUUUAUUUGAAAGCUUUUUAAAAUUUGAAGGUUAAUAUUGUAAUUUUAAGCAAAUAACAAAAAAAAAAAAAACCAAAGUAGCGGAAACCCAAAUGCUAAAUCCCUAAAAAUUCUCCCCUCACUCAGCCGCUCUCGUUGCUCUAUGCCUCUCUCACACGAAUCACACUCACCCACCCAUACCAAGUGAAGCAAUCAAGCAACAAAAACAACCGCCGGUAGCCACUGUCAUUAACUCACAGGGAACUGACGAUUACAACCACCAUCGUUCAUCUAUCGUCGAUUGAGCUUGAGGGACGCAGCCACGCGAGUGCAGCCCGCGACUCGGCAGCAACCCAGGAGCAUCAGCUGCGCAACGUAUUAGCAGCCACUCGAACCCACAGUAGUGGCUAACCCGUGCGGCGGUGCAGCAGCAGCAAACCCAGGCGACUGCGACCCGAACUAGUGCCCAGGCGACCCGAAUCAACAAGCCAUCACCAACUCAGAGUAAUAUCAUGAGAUUAUGGUUGAAUUAUUGAGAAAUUUUGUAUUGUAGAAUAUUAUGAGAUUAUGGUUUAGAAAAUGUUUGGGAAAUUUACAAAAUUAGCCAUAAAACUUUUACGUUUUUCAACUUUAACCCCCCAAAGUUUUUUCUAUCAUAACUAGCCAAACACCUUAUGUUUGGACUACAUUACCCUCAUCACUUUCAUCAAAUUUACAAAGCCAUGCCACUUUUUCAAAUUUACAAAGCCAUGGCACCUGUUCCAUUGCUUGUCGCGCAAAAACCCAUGGAUUUUAUGGAGUACAUGAUUUUGGAUUUGAUUUGUCUCGUCGUAAGCUUCGAAACGGUAUAUUAUACGCCUAAAACGAACAUAUAUAGCUCAAGUUAUGGCUUUCGAAACAUAUAUGAAAUUUAGUGAGACAGGCAAGUGGGACAGGUGCUUGUCGCACAUAAACGCACUGCAUUUAUGUGCGAUAGGCACCUGUCCCACUGCUUGUCGCACAUAAACUCACGGCGUUUAUGGAAUGCAUGAUUUUGGAUUUGAUUUGUCUCGUCGUAAGCUUCGAAACGGUAUAUUAUACGCCUAAAACGGACAUAUAUAGCUCAAGUUAUGGCUUUCGAAACAUAUAUGAAAUUUAGUGAGACAGGCACCUGUCCCACUUGCCUGUCUCACUAAAUUUCAUAUAUGUUUCGAAAGCCAUAACUUGAGCUAUAUAUGUCCGUUUUAGGCGUAUAAUAUACCGUUUCGAAGCUUACGACGAGACAAAUCAAAUCCAAAAUCAUGCAUUCCAUAAACGUCGUGAGUUUAUGUGCGACAAGCAGUGGGACAGGUGCCUAUCGCACAUAAAUGCAGUGCGUUUAUGUGCGACAGGCACCUGUCCCACUUGCCUGUCUCACUAAAUUUCAUAUAUGUUUCGAAAGCCAUAACUUGAGCUAUAUAUGUUCGUUUUAGGCGUAUAAUAUACCGUUUCGAAGCUUACGACGAGACAAAUCAAAUCCAAAAUCAUGUACUCCAUAAAAUCCAUGGGUUUAUGCGCGACAAGCAAUGGAACAGGUGCCAUGGCUUUGUAAAUUUGAAAAAGUGGCAUGGCUUUGUAAAUUUGAUGAAAGUGAUGAGGGUAAUGUAGUCCAAACAUAAGGUGUUUGGCUAGUUAUGAUAGAAAAAACUUUGGGGGGUUAAAGUUGAAAAACGUAAAAGUUUUAUGGCUAAUUUUGUAAAUUUCCCAAAAUGUUUUGUAUUGUUCGGAAAAUAUUAUGAAAUUAUGUAUAAAUCGAUUAUGGUGUUAAAAAUUAUCUGUAGGAUAAGGAAGAAGCUCCCACAAAUAUUGGAUUAAAAUUUUUUUUAGUAUUAGAAUUUAUAAUUUAUUAUGUUGUAUUGUUAAUAUUUUGUGUAUUGGAAUAUUGUGCAUUAGGAAUAUUGCCGGGUUAGAAUUUGGCAUACAUGAUGAAUAGAUUCGUGGUCUUGGUAAUGGUGCUUGAAAGUGAUUAUGUAUGUUAAUUUCUCUGUUAGACUUUUUCUUUGAUUUAUUAGUUUAUGAACAUGAGCACUAAUUGUGCUCCAUCUGUAGAGAGUGCAAAUGAUCCAAAUGACAGUGUUAGGUAAGGUUUUUAUCUUGUUUAAUUAUUAUUUCCUUGAAAAUGCUACAAAUUUGCUAUAUAUUUGAUUUUUGAAAUUUUACAAUGACUAUUAUCAAUAUUGGAGCAUGUUAAUAACAUUUUAUUUAUUUUUUCGUGUAGGAUUUUUGUUUUCAAGGUGACAAAGACAAAUGAAAAGAAUUAAAGAAAUUACAUUUCUUUAUAAUUUCAAUUUGAAUUAUUGUUAUUUGUAAUAUUAAGGAUUUGGUAUUUGUUAUUUGGAUGACUGUAUAAUAUGAUUUGAAUUAUUUGUAUUUUGUUGUGGGAUAUUAAAUUUGUGUUUUUUUUGCUUAAUUUUGUUUAUUAAUUAUAUUUUUCUAAACGAAUUGUAAACGAAUCCUGAUUCGAUUCGAUUCGUUAUGGAUUCGUAAAGGAUAAACGAAUAAUAAACGAAUCCGGAUUCGAUUCGAUUCGUUUAUCAAUUCUAUUAAACGAAUUAAACGAAUUGAACCGAAUAUUCGUUUAAUAAACGAAUCGAAUCCGAAUCUUGAAAUUUCAAUUCUUUUAAUAAACGAAUCGAAUUCGAAUCCAUAGAAUUUUGACCCAAUUCAUUUACGAUUCGAUUCGAAUUCGAUUCGUUUAUUCGUUUUGCCACCCCUAAAACUUACUCAAAAGAAAAUCAUAUUAAGAGAGAAUCAUGAUCCAAUUAGAAGAGUAUGUUUCUUACAUUUCAUAAAUAUUUUUGAACAUCUUUUAAAAUUGUCGGUUCAUUUUAAGGUAAAAUUUCUAACUUUUUGUGGAUGAGUUUUCAUGACUAAUUUGCAUGCAUAUAUAUCUUAAUAAUAUUAAUCAAAUUGAUACGGUGUUCCAUUUGUUUGGAUGGUUAAGAAAAUCUAAGUUUCAGCACAAAUGAUCAUUGGGCUACAAAUCCAACGAUAGACUGGUACUCUCAAUUUAUUCUGCUACCAGAAGAUAGGCCGUCCAUGUGUACACUAUGAAAUGUAAUAUUUUUAUCAUAUUUAGGAGGAUAAACGUCUUAUUAUUUAAGAUAAUAAUUGUUAAUGUGUACAUUAUAAAUACUCAGCAUCUGGUUAUUCUAGAAGGCUCUUUGAUAGGAUUCUAUUGGUAUUUGAAAAAAAAUAUCAAUAUUCUCCCAGUUUAAUUAAUUUUUUUCCAAGAUGUUUAAUAAAUAAAUUUUAAGUAUAAAAAAAUAUUAAUAUUCUCCCAGUUUAAAAAAAUUCACAAAAAUAUUUUUUAUUUUUAAAAAUAAUUACACAAAUUUAUUUUUAUCUUUAUUUAAUUUGAAUUUAACUGCAAGAUUUUUAAAAAUUCAAAAGAAUUUAAAUUAAGAUAAGGUCUUAUCUUUUUAAAAAUAUAUAAAUUUAAUUUUUUAUUGAACAAUAGUUAUACAAUACCUUAUGAUAUUCUUUAUGUUAAAAAGUAAAAAAACAACAAAAUUCACAUUAGCCUUUAAAAUUUAUCAAAAAAAAUAUUUGUAAUUAUUUUUUAAAAAAAAUCAAAUUUUUGUGAUCAUUAAUUCCACCGAAUCAGCGCGCUGGGUUCUCAUUUUGCCGUAAGUCUCAUAAUGGUUGUUCGUGGUGUUGCUUUUGACAGGUAUCCACCUUUGAGUUUGCGACACUAGGAAUUGAAUAAUAAUAAUAAUAAUAAUGGUGAAGCUGACCCAAGAAGUAUCUCGCUGGUCCGCCAUGUCAUUGACGGUGGACAUCCCAUACAUAGCGCAUCCGUAUGUCACAUGUUAGCUCACUGAUUACUUCAGCAAAAUUUAUGACCCCCUCUCUCCACCUCCCUGCUGUCAGCCUGUUCCCGAUAAUUAUUAUUUUUGAGAUGCUCGAAAAUAAUUUUAAAGUUAAAAACUGAUUUUUUUUAUAUAUUAGGAAAAUUUAAAUUUAUUCAUAUUAAUUAUAAAAUAAAAUUAUUUUGAAGAGAUUAUUAUCAUUAUCAAUAAUAUUGAGAUAAAAAAUUAUUAUAUAUAUUAUGUUUAUUAAUAAUUAUUAUAUAUACACAAUAAAAAAUAUUAUACAUAUAUUAAAUAAAUUUUAUUUAAUAUUAUAUCUAAUUUAGAAAUUAUUAAAAUUUUAAUUUAUUCUUUUUUUCAAUAAAUUAUUUCUACAUCACAUCUAAUAAUAAUUAUUUUAAAAAUUAUAAUAUUAUCUAAUUAGUCUUCAUUAUAUAUAAUUUUUCUCGAUUAUGACAUCUUCACUUUAUUAAGGUGAAGAUAUUAACAAAAUAUAAAAAAAAAACACCGACUUUAAUGUAUUAAAAAAUUAAAAUUAUAUUUUUUUAUCCGUUAAUAACUUAAUAUAUUGAAAUCAUCACUAAAUCAGUUGUUAAAUCCAUAAUUACACAGUUACGUUAGCUAUAUCGGACUGCUGAAAGUAAAUGCGGUACCAUAUUAUAGUUGCAACAUAACUGAACCUCACUAAACAAUGAAUAUAUUAUAAAAUAAAAUAUAUUAUAUUAAAUUUUGUAUUUAUAUUUUUUAAUUUAUCUUCUCUUUAAUAUAAUAAAAAAUCUUGAUUAGAAACAUCUGUACACACAUUAACAUUCAUAUGAAGCAUAAACAAAAACUGGUACUUUUACUCGUCUCAUCACAUCAUUCAAACCACUAUAAUAAUGAUAACAUUGCCGUUCUCUCAUCCAAAAUGGCAAAAUCACCAGAAGAAGAACAUCCAGUAAAGGCCUUUGGGUGGGCAGCCCGAGACAGCUCCGGCCAUCUCUCCCCAUUCAACUUCUCCAGAAGGUAAUUAAUAGUUGAGCAUAAUAUAUAUGUGUGAUGCUGCUUUAAAUUUAUUUAAAAUUUUGUUACUGUACGUGUUGAUGAAAUGGUCAUAAACGUGGAUAUGUAAAAUACGGACAGGGAAACGGGUGAUGAGGAUGUGAGGCUGAAGGUAUUGUAUUGUGGGAUCUGCCAUACUGAUCUCCACAACAUCAAGAAUGAAUGGGGCUUCUCUCUCUUCCCUAUGGUUCCUGGGUAUGUACCCAUGAUCUAUCUACCCUUCAAUUUUUGUUUCUUUUGCAUUUUUUUUUGCAUUUGUUUUUGUUUCGGGUCAAACCCAGCUACGCAUGAACAGGCUGUUGUUUCCGUCACGGCGCUCCCUAAUUAUUAACUACGGUACUUGCCUGUGUAUACAGAAAGAGAUUAACCAAGGCCAAGGCUUUGGGAUCUUUUAAUUUGAUACAAAUCGUCCCCAAUCCUAUUUAAUUCUAUCUUAUAUAGAGGUGCUAGUGAAAUAUUGGUAACGAGGGUUUUAAUCUUACCGUUCCAUAUUUGAUGUGAUGAAUAACUGGAAUCUCCUGUUAAAAGUGGCAAACAUAUAUAUUUACGGGUCAUCAUCGUUUAAUAAGAUUUUCUUACAACAAAUUAAACAAAAAUAGAGACACACAAAUUUUAAUGUAAUAUAAAAUAAAAUAUAUUGGAUGAAAAUAUGUAUUUUUCUUAUACAUUAUCUUCAUAACUCUUGGUAGAUUUAUACUCUCUAUCUUAUAAAUAAAGGGUGGAAAUAACAAUUAACUCAAUUAAAGCGUUGUUAGCAUAGAUAUCUUUUUUUUUUCCCAAUAAAAUUAAUUUAUUUCCAUUUGACUCUGUACAAUUUUUAAAUAUUCCAGUGUAGUGGCCAGUGGGGUGCCUUGGCAUCAUUAGAGUGUUGAGAUCACACUAAAGACUUAACCCAUCAAAAUGGUACACCUGUGUAAUUGCGGAAUGGUCAAUUAUGAGAUUUUACUUGAGGGAUAGACGAGGUUGACAAAUAAACGGAGACAUGACUUGUAACUUGAAUUUGCAUUCAAAUGAAGACUUGUAAAUUUUCAAAUUUCAAAUUUCUUUGCUUGAAGAAUUUUAUGAUUGAGAAACUUACUGACAAAAGAAAAGUUGGUGGAGUGGUGUAGUAUAUACGUUUCCAGAAGCUAGCUAGUUAUAUAUUGUCAAAAACAGAAUCAAAUACCUUGUUUCCACUAAAGUAAUUUAUCAUAAACAAAUUGUAUUUAUUUGCAGGCAUGAAAUUGCAGGGGAAGUGACAGAAGUUGGUAGCAAAGUAAGAAAGGUUAAAGUGGGAGAUAAAGUUGGAGUUGGAUGCAUGGUUGGUGCAUGCCACAGCUGCGAGAGCUGUGCCAAUGACCUUGAAAAUUACUGUCCGAAAGUGAUACCCACCUACACUUCCAUUAACACUGACGGAACAAUCACAUACGGAGGCUACUCUGAUCACAUGGUUGCCAAUGAGCGCUACAUUGUUCGAUUCCCUGAUAGCAUGCCCCUUGAUGCUGCUGCUCCCCUGCUUUGCGCCGGGAUUACCGUGUACAGUCCAUUGAAAUACUUUGAACUAGCAGAACAAGGAAAGCAUGUAGGCAUCGUUGGCCUUGGCGGGCUUGGUCAUGUCGCUGUCAAAUUUGCCAAGGCUUUUGGGGCCAAAGUGACAGUAAUUAGCACCUCUCCAAGCAAGAAGACUGAAGCUCUUGAACAUCUUGGCGCUGAUUCAUUUUUGAAUAGCCGUGACCCUGACCAAUUGCAGGUAAUUUAAUUAGAUUCACGCAUAUAUUGGAGAAAAAUAAAAAAUAAAAUGCAUUCCUUAAUUUUAAUAUAUAUUUUGUAAUAACUUCAUCAGGGUGCCAUGGGCACAUUGGAUGGUAUUAUUGACACGGUGUCCGCUGUGCACCCCAUUUUGCCAUUGCUCGGUCUAUUAAAGUCCAAGGGCAAGCUUGUUCUGGUUGGUGUUCCGGACAAGCCACUCGAGCUACCUGUGAUUUCCUUAAUUAUGGGUAAGUUCUAACAAAAUUCUUCGGAAACUUGUGGUCUAAAACUUGUAAUUAAUAUAAGUCAUUUGAUAACAUAAAAUGACAUAGCAGGGAGGAAGACGGUGUCAGGGAGCAGCAUUGGGGGAAUGAAAGAGACGCAAGAGAUGAUUGAUUUUGCAGCAAAACACAAUAUAACAGCUGACAUUGAGGUUAUUUCGAUGGAUUAUGUCAAUACGGCAAUGGAGCGGCUUGCCAAGGCUGAUGUUCGGUAUCGAUUUGUCAUUGAUAUUGCAAACACCUUGGCUGCCACCAAACCUUGAAGAAUCAGAAUCAGAAUCAGAUUGGUGUCUUCAAUUCACAACUUUGUUCCAUGAUCCACUUUGCUAUAUGUAAUGCUCCCUCGAUCAUUACACUCUUUUAGCGCUUAAAUUACUUUUAAUUUUCAGAUACAUCGACCCUAAUUAUGUCGUGAUUGCCAAAAAAGUAUAAGGGUGCGUUUGGCACACUGUAUUAUAUUAUGUUGUAUUGUAUUAUUUUUAUGCUGGUGUGUUGCAUUAGUACUGUAUUAUAAUAAUAUUGUACAAUAUUUGGUGUUGUAUUGUAUUGUAUUAAUUUUUAAUUAUACUAUAUUUGGUGUUGUAAUGUACUAUAUUAAUUUUUUGUGAUUAAUUUAUAUUAUAUAUUUAUAAAAAUAACAUUUAUUAGUACUUAAAAAAAUAAAUAUAGAGGUCUUAAAUUUUAGAAAUUUAAUUACAAAAUGGAUUGGGUUAAUAUUUUAUGUUAUUAUUAAUUUUAGAUUAAUAUUAUUGAAAUUCAUUCGUAUUUAAAUAUUUAUUAUUUGUUAUAUUAUAUUAUUUAAAAAUAUUAAAUUUUAUAUAUUAAUAUUACAAUAAUUAAAUAGUGUAAUAUUAUAUUAUUUUUAUAUACUUUUAAGUAUUUAUUAUUAAUCAUAUCAAAUUAUAAAUUUAUUAAUAAAUUAUGAUGUAAAAAUAAAAAUUAUAUUAUAUUAUAUUAUAAAUUAAAAAUUAUAUAUUUAUCCAUUUUUAUUAUUAUUAAGUAAAACUAAAAGUUUAAGUUUAAAAAAAAAAAACAAGCUAAUGCGGGAGUUCCCGCAUUAGUGCGCCUCCCGAUGCCCAAUUCCAAUGAGGCUCAACUGCUCCCAAACAUGUUAUUGGUUUAAAUUAAUGCUGAGCCCACAAUUAAUCAUAUGCAAUACCACACACCAAACACACCCUAAAUGUUAAUGAAAUAAAAUAUUGUUCAUAUAAAAUAUUUAGCAUAUGUACCUUUCACCAAUUGUCCAAUCGAAAAGUUUGUUUUGUUCUAAAUCACAUAUAGAGUUUUUCUUUCAUGCGGCACUUUUCAUUUUUUUUUUUCUAAUCCAAACACUAUCAAGUCAUAUAAUUUAAUAAAAUUAGUAUAGAUGGCAGAAAUCUAUAAAAUCAUAUUCGCAAAGGUAUGUAGCGACAGCAGUGUCUAGGUUCCUCUGACCUUGAACAAAAAUAUACGAUUGUCCUAAAUGACUCAUGAAUUCACAUCACAAUUUUCAACACUGCAUGUAUGUUUUCCAACAGAAAAUUUUGUAGGAUUAGGGUUUAGUAUUAUGUUGAGUUUUUAUCGAGUAUUGAAUCAAUAAUUAGAAUUGUUUUAAAUUUUAAAUUUUUACAAUUUCUCCUAUUAAUAACUAUUGAUUCAAUAUUCAGUAAAAACUUAAUUUAGCACGUAAUCCUUAUUCGACUUUGCAACCAAAGAACACAAACAAAACUUCAUCGGUCAAUGGAAGCAUUUUCUUAGAACCUCACGGUUCACCCCCAAUGUUGAUGCACGAUGGAUGAUUCUAUCAAGAUGAAUAUAGUUCAAGUUUUACCACCCCAUCAAAUCUAUCAUGAAAUUUCAUUUAUUCUUUUUUUUUUUUGAUACAUCUUAAUAUGUACUAUGAUUGAAAAAGAGAGAGAGAGAGAAUAGUAAAAUCCAUAUCUAAAAUGGUAUGUGGUAUGUACAUAGUAGUACAUAAUCUAAAAUGAUAUGUACAUGAUAUACAUGAUAUGAUCUAAGCUCUGCUUGUGCUACCUAAAUUUUAGUGUUGAUAUAUAAUUAAAAUUUAACUACCUUUAUUUUUAAUUUAUUAAUUAUCAAUCAAUUUAAUAAAAUAUAAAACUUACUCAGAAGAAGAUUAUAUCAAGAGAGAAUCAUGAUCCAAUUAGAAGAGUAUGUAUCUUACAUUUCAUAAAGAUUUUUAAACAUCUUUCAAAAUUGUGGGUUCAUUUUAAGGUAAAAUUUCUAACUUUUUUGUGGAUGAGUUUUCAUGACUAAUUUGCAUGCAUAUAUAUCUUAAUAAUAUUAAUCAAAUUGAUACGGUGAUCCAUUUGUUUGGAUGGUUAAGAAAUCUAAGUUUCAACACAAAUAAUCAUUGGGCUACAAAUCCAACGAUAGACUGGUACUCUCAAUUUAUUCUGCUACCAGAAGAUAGGCCAUCCAUGCGUACAUUAUGAAAUGUAAUAUUUUUAUCAUAUUUAGGAGGAUAAACGUCUUAUUAUUUAAGAUAAUAGUUGUUAAUGCGUGCAUUAUGAAUACUCCAUCAUCUGGUUAUUCUAGAAAGCUCUUUGAUAGGAUUCUAUUGGUAUUUGAAAUUUUAUAUACAUCUUUCAUUGCAGUAAAGAUCUUUUUAACGUGAAUUGUGUGAAUACCAAACUCUUGACCACAUCAAGCAUGUGCAAAAUUUGUAACAGCAGUGCGCAGCACGAAAUUUUUUUUUUACGGCGGUUGUGUCUAAAUGGCGAAAAAUCUUUGUCAGAUUUAAUAUAAUCUUUAAAUUACAUUUAUUGAAAGUUACAAUUAAUAAAAAGGGAAAUAAGAUAAAGAAUAAAAACAAUAUAUGAGCGGAUCAUGUGAGGUCGGUGUCACUUUGUUUUGAGCGAUGGUAAAAUAUGUAAGUUAGGGAGACCCAAGAAAUAAAUGCAAUUCAAUCAUCGUUCUAUUCGAAUUAGAAUAGAAUUUUCAAAGUUCGCACAUUUUGAUUAAUUUUUUUUUUUCGUUUUUUUUUUUUUCUUUUUGCUUCUGACAUUGAUAGAACUCGUUGUUUUGUUUUGGUCCUUCAUGCGACGAAACUUUUGUUACGUGCACAUGUCAAAGUUUCCACAUUCAGAUUGAAUAGCUGGCGUCCACAAGAGCCAAAAACACAAAUGUGUAACACGACUAUUCUGAUAGGUUCUUCUUUAACUUGUCAUUUAAACUACAAAAAUUAAUUAAUUAAUUAACGACAAAUGAAAGGUCGGUAUACAGAGAAAGAGAGGUUGCCUCGAAUUUGUGUAACCAUCUCGUCGAACGUCCCAUGAUGUUUGUAGUAGGUGUGAACUAAAAAGAAUAAAUAAAUAAAUAAAUAAAUAAUUGAAUGUAAGCAGCUGGGAAGAUUAACUACAGUUUACAGAGAGAAAGGUACAUACCAAGUACUGGGAAGUUGGUCAUUCAUUCAUGAGGCUUCAAGUGUUCAAAAGGUCGUGCGAGUUCAUUAAUAUAUAUAUAUUUCCAGUUGGUUGGAUUAGCCUAUAUGUUAAGUACUUUCUCUUAUUUUAUUUUAUUUUAUUUUAUUUAUUAAUUAUUGACCUUUUCACACGACGAAUGUUUUUAAGAGGUUCUUGCCUUUUGUCUUUGACUUUUUCUUUUUUAAUGUUAAAUCCAUUAACUUUAAAAAAUUAAAUAGUAACGAGAGUAAGAGUCCACUUUGAUAAAAAAAUUUAAGUAAAUCUAAUUAAAAUAUCCUAAAUAUAAAAUUAAUAAUAAGCUUGUCCAAAAGAUUUGCGUAGUUAAUAGGGCGUAUGUCAGUGUCAUUUUUCUAAAUUGAAAUGUGUUGCGGGUAGCAGCCGCGGGCCACAUGAAUAGCCACUCCUGAAAGUUUUGAAGCCAUAAAAAAAGUAACAAAUAACCGAGUAAGUCGUCCACAUAAGUUGUGUUAUUUGCCACCAAAAUACAUCACGAAAAGUCUUCUCCUUUCAGUUUUUCUUUCUUUUUUUGGUUGUUGUAGUUUUUUAAUUAUUUUGAGGAGCGAGACUCAUUACAUCCCUAAAUAAGAGUAUAUUAUUACUAUUUAUCUUCAACAAAUUGUCGCGUUAGUUGAAAUUUAUUUUUAAAAAAAAUAUCGCCAAAAAUACCCGUAAAGGAACAGUGCUGGGUUGCUUUUACACAUGAACAUUUGCCCGUGACUAAUACCUAACGCUUUACACGAUCGAAGGUCAUGGUGUUUCUAGAAUCGUCGAAUAAAAGGGCAAAAAAGUGAAACUACAAAGGAAAUCGAGAACCAUUUUAAGGAAAAUGGCUUUGGUCAAUAAAGAAUGGCUGGGUCGGUGAAUUGAAUUGGAAAAUACCUCACCGAUUACGUCAGCCAAACGAAAUGGGAAGAUGCUGUUACUCGCUAUAAAAGCCCAAGGCCACCCGGCAUACAGCAUCGCAACUUGUUUGUUCAAAUACCCUGGACGUCAAACUAAGCCAACAAACACCGAUAUCAUUAAAUUCAUUCUGAAAUGGGGCAAGCACCGGAGCAAGAGCACCCUAAGAACGCCUUUGGAUGGGCUGCCAAGGACACUUCUGGCGUUCUCUCCCCCUUUCACUUCUCCAGAAGGUAUCGUUUUCUCUCUUUUCUUUCCCUUUCUCUUCAUGCCAUUUCCAAUCAAUCUUUUUAAGUCAUGUUUGUCAUACUUAAAAGUUACAACAUAUGGGCAUAUAUACUUAAAAUUUACGAUAUACAGUGUUUAAUAAAUAUUAAUCGUUGUAAUUUAAAAAGUAUAUUCAUAUGAUUUUUCAGUUGUUAUUAAAUAAAAUUAUUUAAAUAUUAUAUUUAUUACAUACUAUUAAUUCUUAUUUCAUAAUAACAAAUUUUUUUCCUCAUAAGCUUCUCAAUCACAAAUAAAACUUUAGAUUAGAUAUAUGCGUACAUUUAUUUUUACUAUGCAUGUCUGAUGUCUGGUGGUUAGAGGUUCCGCCUUUUUUCUUUUUCCUUUUUUUUCAUUUUCUUUUGUUGUUAAAUCGUCUGUUUUUGCAGAGCAACGGGAGAGAAGGAUGUGACAUUCAAAGUAACUCACUGUGGGAUAUGCCAUUCAGAUCUUCACAUGAUAAAAAAUGAAUGGGGCAAUACCAUUUACCCAAUCGUCCCCGGGUAUGUUUUUCGUUUUCUCAAAUCAUAUCUUGUUUUCAAUUUGUUCUUUUAUUUCGAAAGAAGAUGUAUAAAUAUAUAUCUGAUUUAAUAAUUUUCAAUUUUGUCAUCGUAUAUAGUACGAUGGCUGAUUUCUUAUUGUGUCCUUUCUUUUUUUCAAUAAUUUAUUAGUAAACGAAUUAAAAUAAUAUUAACAAUAAUAAAAAAAAUGAAAGCGUGUCAAUGGAGUCUGCACCAGGAAAGCAUGUGUUAAAUAAGCCACAUAAACCUCAAAAAUAAAAUGUUUCUGUACUGUCUGAUCGCUGCGCUGGACCAACGUUAUUUUUUAUUCAUCAAUUCCCUUGCUAUUAGGAAAUUAGGAAAGUAUUAAUGAAGAAAUUAAAUAUAAUUCUUUCAUUAGAAAGGAAAAAGGAAAAAAAGAAAAAAAAAAAAGGAAUUGCAGUCUCUAGAUAUACAUAGCAUAAGAAACAUUUAACUUACCAAAUGUAUCGAAUUGUAUGCGAAUGAAUAUGAGUUUUGUUGGUCCUCUGGUUUUUAUUAUUUGCGUAUUUUGUUAUGUUCAAUUUUAUUCCAUCUGAAAUUCAAGUCACUAAAUUAAAAAAAUUGAACCGGCAAACGGAAAUGCAGACAUGAGAUUGUGGGCGUAGUGACAGAGGUCGGAAGCAAAGUGAGUAAAUUCAAAGUCGGAGACAAAGUGGGAGUAGGAUGCAUGGUGGGAUCAUGCCACUCUUGUGAUAGCUGCGCCAUUGAUCUUGAGAACUACUGCCCCAAAGUUAUAAUGACCUAUGCCAACAAGUACCAUGAUGGAACCAUCACAUACGGAGGCUACUCUGACAUUAUGGUUGCCGAUGAGCACUUUGUGGUCCGUAUUCCUGAAGGCACACCACUUGACGCCACUGCCCCUCUCCUCUGUGCUGGUAUCACAGUCUACAGUCCGUUGAGAUUCUAUGGACUCGACAAGCCUGGUAUGCAUGUGGGUGUUGU